rnacentral:rRNA from 1 species
CCUAACACAUGCAAGUCGAGCGGUAACAGAUCUAGCUUGCUACAUGCUGACGAGCGGCGGACGGGUGAGUAAUGCAUAGGAAUCUGCCCGGUAGUGGGGGAUAACCUGGGGAAACCCAGGCUAAUACCGCAUACGUCCUACGGGAGAAAGGGGGCUUCGGCUCCCGCUAUUGGAUGAGCCUAUGUCGGAUUAGCUAGUUGGUGAGGUAAAGGCUCACCAAGGCAACGAUCCGUAGCUGGUCUGAGAGGAUGAUCAGCCACAUCGGGACUGAGACACGGCCCGAACUCCUACGGGAGGCAGCAGUGGGGAAUAUUGGACAAUGGGGGCAACCCUGAUCCAGCCAUGCCGCGUGUGUGAAGAAGGCCCUCGGGUUGUAAAGCACUUUCAGCGAGGAAGAACGCCUAGUGGUUAAUACCCAUUAGGAAAGACAUCACUCGCAGAAGAAGCACCGGCUAACUCCGUGCCAGCAGCCGCGGUAAUACGGAGGGUGCAAGCGUUAAUCGGAAUUACUGGGCGUAAAGCGCGCGUAGGUGGCUUGAUAAGCCGGUUGUGAAAGCCCCGGGCUCAACCUGGGAACGGCAUCCGGAACUGUCAGGCUAUAGUGCANGAGAGGAAGGUAGAAUUCCCGGUGUAGCGGUGAAAUGCGUAGAGAUCGGGAGGAAUACCAGUGGCAAAGGCGGCCUUCUGGACUGACACUGACACUGAGGUGCGAAAGCGUGGGUAGCAAACAGGAUUAGAUACCCUGGUAGU